GGACAUUUUAACAUUUAAACGUUUAGAGAAACACAUCUCUGAUCAGUCUUCUGCAUUGUACCCACAGAUCCUUUUCACUUCCACACGUCCACACGUCCCCCAGCAUCCACUAAACAGAUCAGAACAACAUCCAGCACAUCUGAUCCCCGAACAUCAGAAACAUCAUCUCUAUUCUGUGUUCGAGUGUGAUGUAAAAUCACUGAAAACAUAUUCAAAUAUUUCAGGUUCAUAUUUUGCUGGCUGCAGGAAUCACAAACCUGGCUGUCUGGUUACUGUCAGCAACUAGUGGGAGGCGCCAGUUUUGUUUUAUUUUUCCUGCACUGACGUCACAGAAUUUAAAGCUGCACACACAGUUUUUUAGUGCAUUUAAUUCAUAACCUGUUGUUUUCUGGGGGCUCCAUACCAGUCCAGCUCGGGGCCCUAGGCAAUUGAAAGGUUUGCUUGCCUUGUUGCAAUGAGCCUGCCUAUAAAGACUUUGACCACCACUGCUUUGCAUGUUAUAGUGCCACAUAGAGAAAACCUGACAUAACUUACCUGCUUAUUCCCAACCCAUACAUCACCAGUUAUUAUAAUUAUAUAUUACAGCUCUGGAAAAAAAGAGACCACUUAAUGAUGAUGUUUUUUUUCUUGAUUUUGCCAAAUUAAAAACCUCUAGAAUAGAAUCAAGAGGGAGAUGGAUGAUCACAAGCUAUCAAAUAAAGCUGAACUACUUAAAUUUUUGAGUGGCA
rnacentral:lncRNA from 1 species